GACGAACCGAGCGAACGUUAUUCGGAAUCACUGGGCUUAAAGCGCGUGUAGGCGGGCCGGCACGUCCGUGGCUGAAAGCCCCCGGCUCAACCGGGGAAGGGGCGCGGAUACGGCCGGCCUGGAGGGGGGUAGGGGGACCUGGAACUUCCGGUGGAGCGGUGAAAUGCGUUGAGAUCGGAAGGAACGCCCGUGGCGAAAGCGAGGUCCUGGACCGUUUCUGACGCUGAGACGCGAAAGCCAGGGGAGCGAACGGG
rnacentral:rRNA from 1 species